CAAGAAAAGCCGCUAUUGUUUUUAUUGUACCCGUACCGUAAACCGACACAGGUGGAUGAGGAGAGAAUCCUAAGGCCGACGGGAGAAGCAUUGUUAAGGAACUCGGCAAAAUGACCCCGUAACUUCGGGAGAAGGGGUGCCUGGUGAAAGCCAGGCCGCAGAGAAUUGGCCCAAGCAACUGUUUAGCAAAAACACAGGUCUAUGCAAAACCGAAAGGUGAGGUAUAUGGGCUGACGCCUGCCCGGUGCUGGAAGGUUAAGGGGAGAGGUUAGCGCAAGCGAAGCUUUGAACUUAAGCCCCAGUAAACGGCGGCCGUAACUAUAACGGUCCUAAGGUAGCGAAAUUCCUUGUCGGGUAAGUUCCGACCCGCACGAAAGGCGUAAUGAUUUGGGCACUGUCUCGACAAUGCACCCGGUGAAAUUGAAGUACCAGUGAAGAUGCUGGUUACCCGUGCCAGGACGGAAAGACCCCAUGGAGCUUUACUCCAGUUUGAUACUGGGAUUCGGUACUGCAUGUACAGGAUAGGCGGGAGACUAGGAAGGUAUGACGCCAGUCAUACCAGAGUCGUUGUUGGGAUACCGCCCUUGCAGUAUUGGAUUUCUAACUAGCCACCAUAAACUGGUGGGAGGACAAUGUCAGGCGGGGAGUUUGACUGGGGCGGUCGCCUCCGAAAGAGUAUCGGAGGCGCUCAAAGGUUCCCUCAGAAUGGUUGGAAACCAUUCGCAGAGUGCAAAGGCAUAAGGGAGCUUGACUGUGACACCGACGGGUGGAGCAGGUAGGAAACUAGGACUUAGUGAUCCGGUGGUAUAAAGUGGGAUUGCCAUCGCUCAACGGAUAAAAGCUACCCUGGGGAUAACAGGCUUAUCACUCCCAAGAGUUCACAUCGACGGAGUGGUUUGGCACCUCGAUGUCGGCUCAUCGCAUCCUGGGGCUGAAGUAGGUCCCAAGGGUUGGGCUGUUCGCCCAUUAAAGCGGUACGCGAGCUGGGUUCAGAACGUCGUGAGACAGUUCGGUCCCUAUCCGGCACGGGCGCAGGAUAUUUGAGAGGAGCUGACCUUAGUACGAGAGGACCGGGUUGGACGAACCGCUGGUGUAUCUGUUGUCUACCAAAGGCAUGGCAGAGUAGCCAAGUUCGGAAGGGAUAAACGCUGAAGGCAUCUAAGCGUGAAGCCCCCCUCAAGAUGAGAUAUCCCAUAGCGCAGGCUAGUAAGACCCCUUGAAGACUACAAGGUAGAUAGGACAGAGGUAGAAGUGCAGUAAUGCAUGUAGCUGACUGUUACUAAUCGGUCGAGGGCAUGACCAAA
rnacentral:rRNA from 1 species